GACGAACGCUGGCGGCGUGCCUAAUACAUGCAAGUAGAACGCUGAAGGAGGAGCUUGCUUCUCUGGAUGAGUUGCGAACGGGUGAGUAACGCGUAGGUAACCUGCCUGGUAGCGGGGGAUAACUAUUGGAAACGAUAGCUAAUACCGUAUAAGAGUAGAUGUUGCAUGACAUUUGCUUAAAAGGUGCAAUUGCAUCACUACCAGAUGGACCUGCGUUGUAUUAGCUAGUUGGUGGGGUAACGGCUCACCAAGGCGACGAUACAUAGCCGACCUGAGAGGGUGAUCGGCCACACUGGGACUGAGACACGGCCCAGACUCCUACGGGAGGCAGCAGUAGGGAAUCUUCGGCAAUGGACGGAAGUCUGACCGAGCAACGCCGCGUGAGUGAAGAAGGUUUUCGGAUCGUAAAGCUCUGUUGUAAGAGAAGAACGAGUGUGAGAGUGGAAAGUUCACACUGUGACGGUAUCUUACCAGAAAGGGACGGCUAACUACGUG
rnacentral:rRNA from 1 species